rnacentral:lncRNA from 1 species
AUCAUUUCCCUCACCCAAACCCUAGACCUAACCAAGAAACGGCGCCCUACUACUAUUCAUCUUCUUCCUCACUGAUUCAAUCCGGAUUCAACCUCAACUCGCCUAGAACUCAAGCUUCACUCAAAUGAGACUCUUCCCCUCCACGUCAUUUGAUUGCCAAUGGUUUCUGUCAGAAAGAAUACAAAUAUUCUCUCAGAAUCGCAUGAUGCCUGUACUAUAGGAACAAUUUGCUGGAUGAAUGGGAGCCGUGGAUCGAUGUAAAUCGAUCUAUGCCUUUUAUUUGUCCCAAAAUGGUUCAAAAAUUUGAAGAUUUUACGGAUUUGUUUGGCAAAGGUUCGAGAUUUUUGAGGAGUGUAUAUAUGAGGUAAGUUUCUCUUUUUCUGGGUAAAGAAAGAUCAAAGAAAAAAAUAGAGAAAAUUUUCAGGAUUUAGUAGUAGAAUUUCUAGGGGUUUGUAGUUCUUCCCUUCACUUCAAGCUUUUCUUUUCCAGUUAGCAUUUCUAGAAAAAAUGGAAAAAUAUAUAUAAAAAAAAGUAGCAUAUGUUAUGUUUGUUGGUCUGGUUUUCAUUUUCGAAAGGAGUUAAAGAAUUUACAAAUCUCAG